rnacentral:rRNA from 1 species
CCUACGGGCGGCAGCAGUGAGGAAUAUUGGUCAAUGGGCGUAAGCCUGAACCAGCCAAGUCGCGUGAGGGAUGAAGUUUCUAUGUAUCGUAAACCUCUUUUAUAAGGGAAUAAAGUGUGGGACGUGUCCUAUUUUGUAUGUACCUUAUGAAUAAGGAUCGGCUAACUCCGUGCCAGCAGCCGCGGUAAUACGGAGGAUCUGAGCGUUAUCCGGAUUUAUUGGGUUUAAAGGGUGCGUAGGCGGCCUUUUGAGUCAGCGGUGAAAGUCUGUGGCUCAACCAUAGAAUUGCCGUUGAAACUGGGGGGCUUGAGUAUGUUUGAGGCAGGCGGAAUGCGUGGUGUAGCGGUGAAAGGCGUAGAUAUCACGCAGAACCCCGAUUGCGAAGGCAGCCUGCCAAGCCAUGACUGACGCUGAUGCACGAAAGCGUGGGGAUCAAACAGGAUUAGAUACCCCUGUAGUC